rfam:Echinococcus granulosus EG_S00139, whole genome shotgun sequence.
CACCGCCCGUCGCUACUACCGAUUGAAUGGUUUAGUAAGGUCCUUGGAUCGGCGUCAUUGUGGCGAUUGCCGGAAGGUCAUUGCCCUGCAGUCGCUGAGAAGACGACCAAACUUGAUCAUUUAGAGGAAGUAAAAGUCGUAACAAGGUUUCCGUAGGUGAACCUGCGGAAG